GGAGGCAGCAGUGGGGAAUAUUGGACAAUGGCGAAAGCCUGAUCCAGCCAUGCCGCGUGUGUGAAGAAGGUCUUCGGAUUGUAAAGCACUUUAAGUUGGGAGGAAGGGCAGUAAGUUAAUACCUUGCUGUUUUGACGUUACCGACAGAAUAAGCACCGGCUAAUUCGUGCCAGAGCCGCGGUAAUACGAAGGGUGCAAGCGUUAAUCGGAAUUACUGGGGUAAAGCGCGCGUAGGUGGUUCGUUAAGUUGGAUGUGAAAGCCCGGGCUCAACCUGGGAACUGCAUCCAAAACUGGCGAGCUAGAGUACGGUAGAGGGUGGUGGAAUUUCCUGUGUAGCGGUGAAAUGCGUAGAUAUAGGAAGGAACACCAGUGGCGAAGGCGACCACCUGGACUGAUACUGACACUGAGGUGCGAAAGCGUGGGGAGAAAACAGGAUUAGAUACCCUGGUAGUCCACGCCGUAAACGAUGUCAACUAGCCGUUGGAAUCGUUGAGAUUUUAGUGGAGUAAAGCGAUUAAGUUGAAUGGAUGGGGAUACCGUAGCAAG
rnacentral:rRNA from 1 species